rnacentral:rRNA from 1 species
UACGUAGGGUGCGAGCGUUGUCCGGAAUUAUUGGGCGUAAAGAGCUCGUAGGCGGUUUGUUGCGUCUAUCGUGAAAACCUGCAGCUUAACUGUGGGCUUGCGGUGGAUACGGGCAGACUUGAGUUCGGUAGGGGAGACUGGAAUUCCUGGUGUAGCGGUGAAAUGCGCAGAUAUCAGGAGGAACACCGGUGGCGAAGGCGGAUCUCUGGGCCUUACCUGACGCUGAGGCGCGAAAGCUAGGGGAGCAAACAGG